rnacentral:rRNA from 1 species
UACGUAGGGGGCGAGCGUUAUCCGGAUUUACUGGGCGUAAAGCGCGUUCAGGCGGUUGGCAAAGUUGGUGGUGAAAUCUCAGGGCUCAACCCUGAAACUGCCUCCAAUACUGGUCAGCUAGAGUGCGAGAGAGGAAGGUGGAAUUCCCGGUGUAGUAGUGAAAUGCGUAGAUAUCGGGAGGAACACCAGUGGCGAAGGCGGCCUUCUGGCUCGUAACUGACGCUGUAGCGCGAAAGCGUGGGGAGCGAACGGG